UUAAUUAUGUUUUCUUAAACUGUGGAAAAUGAAAGGUUACAACCUUUAUGGGACAGAGUAGCAGAAGAAAACAUCCUUAAGCUAUCAAUUUGAAAGCAAAGGUCACAUAGAAGAAAGGGCAUAAAAAUAAUAUUAGAGCUGGCCAGUAUAAUUUUUUUUUACUACAUAAAAGUUCUUAUCUCACUAUGUGCUUCCCACAACAAAACUCACGUCUAUAUUGAUAGUAAUGUUGCCAAUUGGUAGAGGGAAAUACUUACCUACAAAUGGGUGUGUACACACUCAUCCAAUCUAUAAUUGACAUCAUUUAAAAUCAUAAUGGGUCAUAAAAAAUAUGGUAGAUCCUAUUAUGGUAGAUCCUAUCUAAAAUCAUGGUAUGCCAAUUUUUAUUAAUGGGGUGUAUAUACAGCCGGAUGUACUAAAAAUUUUUCCAUUGGUAAAAUGCGCUUCCAAAAGUAGACACAUGCUACACAUUUUCACUGCAAACUCGAGAGGUUUCAUCACCCAAUAUCCAAUAUAACUGCCAUAAUAAUAAUAAAAGCCAGCAAUAGCGUAUAAGGUCAUAAUCAAAAUACAUCAAGAUUGCCUCACCUUCCCAUGGUGUUGAAUAGCUG
rnacentral:misc_RNA from 1 species